UAAGCUUCCAUCUGUAUUUCAAUAAACAUUUACAUUUUUUUAUAAUGGGUUCCAAGUUUAAUGGUCUGAGAAGUAUGUAAGGUGUGGUAUGGUUCUCAUUCGAUAUGAACAAUUAUGGUGAGCUGAUUCAGGAUCCAUUAUCAGAAUGUGUAUGCCCGAGACAAUUUUCACUAUGUUAACAGCAAUGUCAUGAGUGGAAGUAGAUACUUUAUUGGUAGGGGGCAAGCCUGGGUUCCUGGCUCGUUUUCCUUUAUGCACAUAGCCACCUAUCAUGGCAUUAUGGCAAUGAUAUGAUGUUUAGUCUUUCACUGUAAUGAAUCUUUUUUCAUGAAGCAAAAAACUAGCAGACUUAUUUGUCCAAAUACAGUUAUGCUGUAUGGGAGAAAACCUGCCAAUCUGAAAGCGUACGACUAGGUGCAAUCCCAUCAGCAAAUAGGCUUGCACUUAAAAUUGAACUUGUAUCUAAAACUUCACGGGUUUUCUUAUCUAAAUUUAAGUUCUACC